rnacentral:lncRNA from 1 species
GUCAACUCUUUGCGCUGAUAGGUUUAAAUUGCUGCCCUGCAGAGGGCCUGCUUUAGCCUGGCCGGUGGUUGACUGGAGUCUGAGGCCAUGAGCACUGUCGCUGUGACUCGGGCGGCCGCGGGACCAGCCUCUAGGCCAGCUUCCUGCCUCACUCCGCCGAGAAUUGGACCGACAGAUCCCCUUCGCCCCCGGCGACCUGGUAGGGCCGUAAGCCCCAGCCCCAAAUGUGGAAGCAAGGCAAGACACACAAGAGCCUGGGGUGUGAAGGGAUGGACCUGCUGAUUAGGACGCUGCUCUUGCUGCCAAGGAACCAAAAUGACAGCAGAUCUCAUACGCGCGKUAAUCUUCCCUCAAAACUCUUGGAGGCCUUGGGAUGGGAUUUAGGACCCACUAAGCAGGCCUGCUUUUCCCACCGUCUUUCUCUGUCCUCUCCAGUACAGACUCCAGCCACAGCCGAGUCUCUGUUCUUGAACUAGGCAGACUUCUUCAUUCUGUCCCUCUGCUGGAGUAACUGCCCAUCUCUCAGGCUGCCUGGCUAUCAGAGUUCCUUGACAGCUGGUCCCCUUCAAGCACACUAACGUCUGUCCAGUGUUUACCUCUUUUAUAGCACUGUGGGCUGUGCAAAUUAAAUGAGUUUGUUAUCAGCA